rnacentral:rRNA from 1 species
CGUAGGUGGCAAGCGUUGUCCGGAAUUACUGGGCGUAAAGAGCGCGUAGGCGGGAAUUUAAGUCAGGAGUGAAAACUGGCGGCUCAACCGCCAGCCUGCUCUUGAAACUGGAUUUCUUGAGGGUAUGAGAGGAAAGCGGAAUUCCCAGUGUAGCGGUGAAAUGCGUAGAUAUUGGGAGGAACACCAGUGGCGAAGGCGGCUUUCUGGCAUACAACUGACGCUGAGGCGCGAAAGCGUGGGGAGCAAACGGGAUUAGAUACCCCGGUAGUCCACGCCGUAAACGAUGGGCACUAGGUGUAGGAGGUAUCGACCCCUUCUGUGCCGUAGUUAACACAAUAAGUGCCCCGCCUGGGGAGUACGGCCGCAAGGUUG